GCUCGUAAUGUUCUUGGACAUCUGGCAAGCUGGUGGCCCUCUGCUGACUGCCUGAACCCCUCUCAGACCUUCAAACCAUGGGCCACAUCCUACUUCUUCCUUCCCUAUGCCUCCUGUGCACUAUCAAGCCCACAGCAGCUUCCCAACCAAGCACCUCUGUGGGCUCUCUUUGAUGUGGAACAGAGAAAAUGAUUUAUGAGGUAAAGAAAGAUUAAAUGAAUUGCUCAAGGUUAUGGAUCUGAGAAUCAAACCCAGGCAGUCACUGAGGGCCAUGAAUGCCUGUGAGGUCAGAGCACAAAAGGCCACAGUUUGGGGAGCCUUGGCAAGGUUGCUGUGGCUGGACUUGUCACAGAAGGCAUGGAGCUACCUGAGAACUCUCACUUACAGAUGUACUUCACAGCCCAGGCAGGAGGUACAGCAACUGGCAUGAUCUGAGGACCUGGUAAUCUUGCUUUCUCAUGCUGUUCUUCCUCUACUGGAAUGCCCUGCCUUCUUCUAUACCCACCUAAAUCCUCUGGUAUUGUUAAAAACCCAGCCCA